GAUGAACGCUGGCGGCGUGCUUAACACAUGCAAGUCGAACGGUGAAGGCGGAGCUUGCUCUGCUGGAUCAGUGGCGAACGGGUGAGUAACACGUGAGCAAUCUGCCCCUGACUCUGGGAUAAGCGCUGGAAACGGCGUCUAAUACUGGAUACGAGCUGCGAAGGCAUCUUCAGCAGCUGGAAAGAAUUUCGGUCAGGGAUGAGCUCGCGGCCUAUCAGCUUGUUGGUGAGGUAAUGGCUCACCAAGGCGUCGACGGGUAGCCGGCCUGAGAGGGUGACCGGCCACACUGGGACUGAGACACGGCCCAGACUACUACGGGAGGCAGCAGUGGGGAAUAGUGCACAAUGGGCGAAAGCCUGAUGCAGCAACGCCGCGUGAGGGACGACGGCCUUCGGGUUGUAAACCUCUUUUAGCAGGGAAGAAGCGAAAGUGACGGUACCUGCAGAAAAAGCGCCGGCUAACUACGUG
rnacentral:rRNA from 1 species